rnacentral:tRNA from 1 species
AGAGAUUGUAGCUCAGUGUAAGAGCCUCUGCAUGACGUGCAGAAAGUCCCAGGUUCAAUUCCCAGCAUCUCCA